GCCCACCCUGCUCUGCCGACGGAGUGGUCCUUGUGCCUACCCCGGGUCCCGCGGCAUUGGGGACAGCACUGGGACAGCAUUGGGGACAGCAUCGAGGACAGACACCUCCCGGCUCGGUCUAGGUCGUGUCUGACCCCAUCCUUCGGAGGUGGCCGAAUACCCUGAGGCAUCGUGCGCUUGUUGCUCCCACUUGUUUUAAAUCAACUGUAGGAGUUUGAAUGUUUGCACUUACUGCGCGGGUGAUGGAGAGCAGCCGGAGCCGCUGGCGCCCCAAACCCAGGCAUUGCGAAGCUUUUUAGCUGCUUUUUGAAAACCGCAUCUGGAGACACCCCAUGAGUCAGCCCACAGAGAAGCAGUAAUAUGAGAACCAUGCGCGCAAGGGAAAGCUUGUGGAAAAAAACAAAUGGGAAAAUCAGAGAACAAACAAUAAAAAAAAUCAUCUGCAGGGAAGGAGAGGAAAGCGAAGAAGAAAAGAAACUUGGGACUGGAAACUCAGUUCUCUCUAAUGGAUUUCAAGUCUUCAUUUUUAGCAACCGAAAUUUAAUUGACUGUCCACUAGCCCCUCUGCAGAGGAGACGGGAGCACACAGAAAUUGGGGCAGAGCGAAUAUAAAAGCUACAGAGCCGCAAUUACUCUGUCAAGGAGAGCAGGGAGGUGUGGGGCUGAGCAAGACAAGCCCAGCGGGAGAAGUGGUUUAUUACGGCGCUAAGUGUGACCGAUGCCUACGGGCGCGAGCAAUUCCCACGCGAGGAGCAGCAGCAGAGCAGAAGGGAGCUGAGCAUCACCUGGGCCUGUCCGCCCUCCCCCCGACAUGAAAAUGAGCUGAAAUUUAAUUACCGGCUUUCUCCUUGAGUUCAUCCCUGUGAAUCCCCUUCUCUGCCUGCCAUCAUUCCCCUGGGGUUUCUGCUCUUUCCUCUUUGUCAUGGCCACACACAGGGAGGCUGGAGAGUGGAGCCGGACCCUCUGCCACGGGCAGCUGCUGCAUCCCCGCUCCCACCCCUCACCUAAAGCCACUGCAGCGUCUCGUCACCGCUGCUGGGUGUGGGGACGUGGGGGAUGCUCUGGGCACGGCCCUGGCUCUGCUCCCCCCAGCGGGGUCUGCAUGGCCAGGGUCAACCUCGCUGGGGCACCGGGCUGAGAGUCGGGACCAGAAGUGGGUUGCAGCAUGGGGAGAGCCAGCAGCACGUUCCUCCCUCCUUCCUCUUCUCCAUGGCUGUCCCACCUUUGGCUCCGAGGACAGCCUGGCACAGAUACGUGAAGGAAACCUUUGGAGGAACAUACCGGUGACCCUCCAAGUCCAGAUGCAGUUUGGUGCCCGGCUGCUUACCUAAAUUCUGCCAAAUUAUUCAUGCUGGAUAAGUAGAUGUUAAUGACUCGGCUUAAGUUACCUUCGGCUGCCACAAAAAUUUGGUCGGACAGUUUUCCACCCACACGAAAUGUGCUCUGAACAUUUGUGAAAUAUUCUUCUAACUGACUGUCACAUAACUGAACGCAAUCGGGCGUCUGUGUGUGCUAACGAAGCAGCUGUGCCAGGUUCAACCUCUGCCCAGCCAAGCUGUGCAGGGCUCACCCCCGCUUGCUCCUGGGGGGGGGCGGUUCUGCCUCCCUUACUUUGUGGUGGCUCACUUUUCUUCAGAUCCCUUUGGUCUGUGUUUGAACAUCAUAGCUUUCUAUAGGGUAGGCAAGAAAAUGAAGUGCAAAAGCUGGAAAGCUGCGUUUGCCCAGCUGCUACUGAGCACUCUUCGUCAUUUCUGCCCUUUGCUCGCUCCGCCCCAGCUCUGCAGUUUAGUCAAACGCCCUGAGGAGCACGUGCUUCCCUCUUCUGACCCUUUUCUUCGGAGAAAAGAACAUUCCUCUGGUCCUACAGUCCCUUUUCCCGCCCUCUCCUCCCUAUGAGUACGGUUUUUUUCAGGUCUGCAUUUUCAUGCAAUGUUGGUUUUAGCCCAGAUCAUCUCAGACCAAAGACGGACGAGCAAACGCAGGGUUUCAGGAAAAAGGUCUUACUGCAAAAGCGCUUGCUCUGUGCCUCCAGACUCCACACACGAGGGAAACCUUAGAAAGCUCAUCCGCCUUAACUGUUCACAGAUCACGCAGCCCUUGUUAAUACAGGGUUCCUUAAUUAGCCUCGCCCUUGCUGUAGGCCGCCAAGUAGGAUCCCACCCAACACGCUGACAUUAAUGGGAACAUCUCCUUCAGCCUGGCCAGACCCCUCCAUCAGCUCCACUUUGCAAGUCAGUGCUCACUGGGCAGGAGGAGCCCCAACCCUCAGGUGGGAGCCCCCUGUGAGAAGGACGCAAAGACCCCACUUGACUUGCAACGGCGCCUCCAUAGAUCUUAGAUAAAGUCUGCUCAUAAAGUUUACUGGCCUACACGAGGACAUGGAGUCACUGGUCUCCACCUCUGCAGUUACUUCACCAGGGCAUGCAAGUGAUGUAUCUCAACACCCCACACAUUUCAGUCAAGUUCUUUAAAGUAAAAACCCACCAGUCAGGAAUAUUUGGCUUGGCAGGAUCACUGGCUGUAAGCUGUGGCUGCUGGGAAAGGCAGGACACACGUCUGCAUUCCUGCUCGAGACCAGCUCAGGAGAACACCCAGUGCACGUGCCUCGUGUGGGCCAAAUGGCAUUUACUGGCAUCCUCCUCUGGAACUGGAGGCUUGUCUAGCAGUCGGCCCGUGUGCUUUGGAUGCCUUUGUACAGCUUUGCAUCCCAGCUGGAGAUGUUCCUCCCGGAGGCAGCUGAGGUGAGGACCGUCUGUACCCCAGCAUCUUGAUAUGCUGCCAGCCUCUCUGCAAAUUGUGGCUGAUGAGGCACCAGGAACCAGAGAGGUAGAAGUCAGCCUUGCUCUGACCACCUCGGAGCUGGUUUUCAACCCCACGCUUCUCUCCUUGCAUGGGGUAUGUUCCUCCUGCCAGCUCGGGCCCACAGAUGUCUACUUUUAUCACAGCGCUGAAAACAAGAAUCCCAAGUACUUUGAGGGGAACACAGUUUAUCAUCGCUCCUUGUGCAUCAGCCAAAAAAUGAGGCGAGACCAGACAACACAACCGCUCUGAGGCAAGGAGCAGAGCGGGGUGGAAACCUCUUGUUCACAGGGAGCUCCUGGUUGGGGUGUAAGAGUCUGCUUUGCAUGGGAGUGGUUACCCCAGGGACUUCUCCGCAAGCGCAGACCCUCGAGAUAGGGCCAAGCCCACCCACACCUUACCUACUGCAGCGUGUCCAGUCCUCGGACACCUGAGAAAGAGAAGUCCUAGAUGGUUACAGCCCCCAAAACCACGAGACAUUCAAAGGUGAGGCAAGGCAUACUCUGAACUCCCAUCCCAACAGCACGCAAGAGGCUGCUCUCCCAACAAACACAUCUCCGGGGCUCUCCUCCAAGCACAGCCUUCCUGCAGCACGCCAGUAGCCUCAGGCAAGCUGCCGGGCAUGGGCUGGGCUCUCAGCCCAGGUCCCAGGACCUGCCUCACCCGUGGGAGGGCUGGGCUCCUCCCGAGCCUGCAGCGUGCCCGCCUGCACCAUCCCCCUCGGGUUUUACUGGGGCUGGGUGCAGGUGGAGACAUCACGAUCACCGACUCCUUGCAGGCCCUCCGUAAGGCUGGUUCUUCUCAGAGCAGCAGCAAAUUCAUUUCACUGUUAACUUGGGGUGCAUUAUUUCGAGCGUCUGUGAAAACAGAGGCUCCACACACCCGAGGAGACCCAUGGAAAAGGCUUCUUUGGAAACCGCGCGCACUGAAUACCUCUACCGAUACUACGGUUUUGCAUUCGGUGGUGAAUGACUGGUUCUUCUGGGCCUUGAUUUCAGAGGCUUCUUGAUCUAUACCUACUGUAUGGCGUUAAUGGCAGGACUGCACGCAACAGCAUGGCGUGAGGGCAUUCUUCACAACAGGAAUGAGCUAGAGCAGUACAAGCACCUAUAAAGCUGCGAGAGUUUGGACAAGUAUAAUAGCUUUAAUUAGAAGAGAAAAUCAUCGUAUCCUUCAUUCUAAUAAUUAUUUUAAAGAACAGACCAAGUGUAAGGGCAUGAACAGACUUAACGAGCGCUUAAACGAGCAAGUAAUUACCAAGCUUAAAGAAUGACUGCUCCUUAGCAAAGCUUCAGGAAUGGGAGCUCCUUGGGCAUUAUGAGCUCUCUGCCUCCUCCCUGUCAACGAACCCUGCGUGGGAUUUGGCCCUUCUGAGGCAGAUUAAACCUACACAACAAAUAGCAGCUGAUGUCCCCUGGUCAGGGCAGGCACCUCGCUGGGGCCGCAGCCGCUUCUCUCCAGCGGCACCCAUUUAAGCUGAAGACAGGCUGAGAGUUGGGGUGUUCAGCCUGGAGAAGAGAAGGCUCCAGGGAGACCUUAGGGCCCCUUCCAGUACUUGAAGGGGGCCUACAGGAGAGAUGGGGAGGGACCCUUGAUCAGGGAGUGGAGCGAUAGGACGAGGGGUAAUGGUUUUAAACUGAAAGAGGGGAAGAUUCAGAUUAGAUAUUAAGAAGGAAUUCUUUGCUGUGAGGGUGGUGAGCCCCUGGCCCAGGUUGCCCAAAGAAGCUGUGGCUGCCCCAUCCCUGGAGGGGUUCAAGGACAGGCUGGACGGGGCUUGGAGCAACCUGGGCUGGUGGGAGGUGUCCCUGCCCAGGGCAGGGGCUGGAACUACAUGAUCUUUAAGGUCCCUUCCAACCUAAACCAUUCUGUGAUGCGAAACUGUUCCUGCCCCAUUCCCACACCAACAUCACGAGGAUGACGGACUCAGCUGCAACAGCGUCUGCUUUGAAAAGUGCCACCUGCCCCUGCCGGACGCACCCCUCCAGCAGACCCCACCGUCAGCACCCACCUCCCAGGCCGCAGCUGAAGGGAUGCCCCGGGUGUGGGCGGGGGAGGGGGGGGUCCCACUUUUCUGUACGCUCCUGCCCAAGCCAGACCCACAGGCGGGAGGGGAGAGGAAUCCAAACUCACCGAGCACCAUCACCUCUGGCUCCGAAAUUUAUUUAACUACAAACACACAGCAUCCGAGAGCACCAGGUCCGGGAGGAAGGUGGGGCACGCAGACACAUACCCCUUGUUUAACAAAGAGGGCAGGAGCUUCAGCUACUGCUUUAUUCGAAUACAGACAUCACCCCAAAAAACAAGAGGAACAACUCUACUUCAGAAUUACAAUGGCAAUGACACAGAAUUUACAAAAAUAUAAAUAACCUAUUCGUAACCUUAAAGAAAAAUAACAUCCACCAUAAAAAAUACCAUGUAUUCCCCUAGGUAAACCAUGGCUACAGAAAUGUAUCACUUUUUUUAAAAAAAAAAAAGCACCAGAGUCUGCAUUAUUAAGUAAUCCAAAACACAUAGGGAAUUUCCCCCUAACACUUGCAGACUUUUCUGAAAAGUGUGCCCAGAUCAUUAAAACCGAGUUUUCUUCAGUAUUUCCUGCUUCUGUAAGAGCAUAUUGAAGGUACAAUUCUUAUAAGCACCCUGUUCAAGAA